UUAUAGAUUAUGCCAUAAGGCAAAAUCAAAACUCGAUCGGCCGCAGACAAGAAGCGAGGACGUCGAAGGCCGAUAACUGCGACGGGGUGGAUGGAAAUCGUUGCGAAUAUGAAGUUAUAAUGCGAGCUCUUCGAAAGCUCACCACUCAAAAAAUUGUAACUGAAGAUACUACUUUAUUUAUGGGACUCGUCGGUGAUUUGUUUCUUGCGCUAGACGUGCCCCGAACACGUGAAUUAGAAUUUGAAAAUCAAA